rnacentral:rRNA from 1 species
GACCAAGAAGUCUAACAUGUGUGCGAGUCAUUGGGUAUUUUGUUGAAACCUAAGGGCGCAAUUAAAAUAACUAUUUUAUGGGAUUACAAGUGAAUUAAUUUUCAUUUCUUCAUCCCGGGGCGUUCUAUACGAACAUGGUGCAAGCAAUUGAACCCUCUGUUCAAGAGCGUACCUUGAGCAUACAUGCUGUGACCCGAAAGAUGGUGAACUAUACCUGAUCAGAUCGAAGCCAGGAGAAAUUCUGGUGGAGGAUCGAAACAGUUCUGACGUGCAAAUCGAUUGUCAGAAUUGGGUAUAGGGGCGAAAGACCAAUCGAACCAUCUAGUAGCUGGUUCCCUCCGAAGUUUCCCUCAGGAUAGCUGGCGCAAAGAAUUAUAUUAUAUAUAAUCUUAUCUGGUAAAGCGAAUGAUUAGAGGCCUUGGGGCCGAAACGACCUCAACCUAUUCUCAAACUUUAAAUGGGUAAGAACCUCAUCUUUCUUGAUCUGAAGAUAUUGGGGUUUAGAUAUAUUGUGCCCAGUGGGCCACUUUUGGUAAGCAGAACUGGCGCUGUGGGAUGAACCAAACAUGAUGUUACGGCGCCUAAAUUAAUGACUCAUAUUGAUACCAUGAAAGGCGUUGGUUGCUUAAAACAGCAGGACGGUGGACAUGGAAGUCGUAAUCCGCUAAGGAGUGUGUAACAACUCACCUGCCGAAGCAACUAGCCCUUAAAAUGGAUGGCGCUCAAGUCAUAUGCCUAUACAUCAUCGCUAGAAUAAAAAUUGUUGACCAUUUUUGGUCAUCAUUAUGAAAUUCUAGUGAGUAGGAGGGUACAAUGGUGUGCGCAGAAGUGUUUGGCGUGAGCCUGCAUGAAGCCGCCAUUGGCACAGAUCUUGGUGGUAGUAGCAAAUAAUCGAAUGAGAUCUUGGAGGACUGAAGUGGAGAAGGGUUUCGUGUGAACAGUGGUUGAUCACGAGUUAGUCGGUCCUAAGCUUUAUGCGAAAGCUGUUUAAUUUAUGUUACACACAAAAUUUUUGUUGUACAUAAUUCAAUAAAAGCGAAAGGGAAUACGGUUCCAAUUCCGUAACCUGUUGAGUAUACGUUUGUUUAUUAAAAAUGGGUCUUAUUACACUCAUCCUGGCAACAGGAACGACCAUAGAGAAGCCUUCGAGAGAUACUGGAAGAGUUUUCUUUUCUGCUAAACAAACGUAUCACCAUGGAAGUCUUUUAUAGAGAGAUAUGGUGGAUGGCUUGGAAGAGCAUGACAUUUACUGUUGUGUCAGUAUUUUCUCCUUGGACCUUGAAAAUCUAUGGUGGGGCCACGCAAACUUCUCAACAGACCGUACCGAUAUCCGCAG